UUCAGGAGUUAUGGUUCUUGAAAGAUCGUAAAAUGGCGUUUCCAUUUACGUUGUUGCAUUUACUCAUGAACCAUUCAAUCUAAGCUUUUCAAAUAUUAUUAUUUCAAAAUGUUGAUACUGAUAACAAAAUGGAGGUCAAAUUUGAUAUUGAUGAUUUUCACUUUCACCAUUCAUCAGUAAUGGUUCUUGUGAUAUUGCCAGGACACAAAUAAAUGUAAAUAAAUCCGGUUUGCUGUCGUUGUGACAGCCUCUUGUUUAU
rnacentral:lncRNA from 1 species